AUUGAACGCUGGCGGAAUGCUUUACACAUGCAAGUCGAACGGCAGCACGGGGCAACCUGGUGGCGAGUGGCGAACGGGUGAGUAAUACAUCGGAACGUGCCCAAUCGUGGGGGAUAACGUGGCGAAAGUUACGCUAAUACCGCAUACGAUCUACGGAUGAAAGCGGGGGAUCGCAAGACCUCGCGCGAGUGGAGCGGCCGAUGUCAGAUUAGGUAGUUGGUGGGGUAAAGGCUCACCAAGCCAACGAUCUGUAGCUGGUCUGAGAGGACGACCAGCCACACUGGAACUGAGACACGGUCCAGACUCCUACGGGAGGCAGCAGUGGGGAAUUUUGGACAAUGGGCGCAAGCCUGAUCCAGCCAUUCCGCGUGCAGGAUGAAGGCCUUCGGGUUGUAAACUGCUUUUGUACGGAACGAAACGGCGAGCUCUAAUACAGUUUGCUAAUGACGGUACCGUAAGAAUAAGCACCGGCUAACUACGUG
rnacentral:rRNA from 1 species